AAGCUACUCCCUUCGUCCAAAAAUAUUUAUCGUAGGAAUAGAUGUAUGUAGAUGUAUUUUAGUUAUAGAUACAUUUACUUUUAUUUAUUUUUGUAAAAAGUAAUUUCAGACGAAGGGAGUAUUAA
rnacentral:pre_miRNA from 1 species